rnacentral:rRNA from 1 species
UACAGAGGGUGCAAGCGUUAAUCGGAAUUACUGGGCGUAAAGCGUGCGCAGGCGGCUUUGCAAGACAGAUGUGAAAUCCCCGGGCUUAACCUGGGAACUGCAUUUGUGACUGCAAGGCUAGAGUACGGUAGAGGGGGAUGGAAUUCCGCGUGUAGCAGUGAAAUGCGUAGAUAUGCGGAGGAACACCGAUGGCGAAGGCAAUCCCCUGGACCUGUACUGACGCUCAUGCACGAAAGCGUGGGGAGCAAACAGG